rnacentral:rRNA from 2 species
UACGGAGGGGGCUAGCGUUGUUCGGAAUUACUGGGCGUAAAGCGCACGUAGGCGGCGCGACAAGUUAGGCGUGAAAUGCCUGGGCUCAACCCAGGAACUGCGCUUAAGACUGUCGUGCUAGAGACCGGGAGAGGGUGGCGGAAUUCCCAGUGUAGAGGUGAAAUUCGUAGAUAUUGGGAAGAACACCGGUUGCGAAGGCGGCCACCUGGACCGGAACUGACGCUGAGGUGCGAAAGCGUGGGGAGCAAACAGG